rnacentral:rRNA from 1 species
AUGAACGCUGGCGGCGUUCCUAAUACAUGCAAGUCGAGCGAACAGACGAGGAGCUUGCUCCUCUGACGUUAGCGGCGGACGGGUGAGUAACCCGUGGAUAACCUACCUAUAAGACUGGGAUAACUUCGGGAAACCGGAGCUAAUACCGGAUAAUAUAUUGAACCGCAUGGUUCAAUAGUGAAAUACGGUUUUGCUGGCACUUAUAGAUGGAUCCGCGCCGCAUUAGCUAGGUGGUAAGGUAACGGCUUACCAAGGCAAAGAUGCGUAGCCGACCUGAGAGGGUGAUCGGCCACACUGGAACUGAGACACGGUCCAGACUCCUACGGGACGCAGCAGUAGGGAAUCUUCCGCAAUGGGCGAAAGCCUGACGGAGCAACGCCGCGUGAGUGAUGAAGGUCUUCGGAUCGUAAAACUCUGUUAUUAGGGAAGAACAAAUGUGUAAGUAACUAUGCACGUCUUGACGGUACCUAAUCAGAAAGCCACGGCUAACUACGUG